GACGAACGCUGGCGGCGUGCUUAACACAUGCAAGUCGAACGGAAAGGCCCUGCUUUUGUGGGGUGCUCGAGUGGCGAACGGGUGAGUAACACGUGAGUAACCUGCCCUUGACUUUGGGAUAACUUCAGGAAACUGGGGCUAAUACCGGAUAGGAGCUCCUGCUGCAUGGUGGGGGUUGGAAAGUUUCGGCGGUUGGGGAUGGACUCGCGGCUUAUCAGCUUGUUGGUGGGGUAGUGGCUUACCAAGGCUUUGACGGGUAGCCGGCCUGAGAGGGUGACCGGCCACAUUGGGACUGAGAUACGGCCCAGACUCCUACGGGAGGCAGCAGUGGGGAAUACUGCACAAUGGGCGGAAGCCUGAUGCGGCAACGCCGCGUGCGGGAUGACGGCCUUCGGGUUGUAAACCGCUUUCGCCUGUGACGAAGCGUGAGUGACGGUAAUGGGUAAAGAAGCACCGGCUAACUACGUG
rnacentral:rRNA from 1 species